UACGUAGGUGGCAAGCGUUAUCCGGAAUUACUGGGCGUAAAGCGCACGCAGGCGGCUCUUUAAGUUUGACGUGAAAGCUCCCGGCUUAACUGGGAGAGGUCGUUGAAGACUGGAGGGCUUGAGGCAAGGAGAGGGGUGUAGAAUUCCCGGUGUAGUGGUGGAAUGCGUAGAUAUCGGGGGGAAUACCAGUGGCGAAAGCGGCACCCUAGCCUUAGCCUGACGCUCAGGUGCGAAAGCGUGGGGAGCGAACGGGAUUAGAAACCCCCGUAGUCC
rnacentral:rRNA from 1 species